UUUCAAGUUACUAAGGGCGCACGGUGGAUGCCUUGGUACGGGAAGGCGAUGAAGGACGUGGCAAGCUGCGAUAAGCCUCGGGGAGGUGCAAACAACCGUUGAUCCGGGGAUUUCCGAAUGGGAAAACCCAGCGUCGUGAAAGCGGCGUUAUCCAUGACUGAAUCCAUAGGUUAUGGAGGCUAUACUCAGGGAACUGAAACAUCUAAGUACCUGAAGGAGAAGAAAGUAAUAACGAUUCCCUCAGUAGCGGCGAGCGAAAGGGGAAGAGCCUAAACCAGGGGGACAUGUCCCUCUGGGGUUGUGGGACCUCAACGUGGGACCGUAGGAUUUAGCUGAAUCUGUUUGAAAGCAGAGCCAUAGCAGGUGAUAGCCCUGUAGGCGAAAAGUCCGAUGGCCCUAGAGGAAUCCCGAGUACGGCGGGGCACGAGAAAUCCCGCCGGAAUCUGCGAGGACCAUCUCGUAAGGCUAAAUACUCUCCCGUGACCGAUAGUGAACCAGUACCGUGAGGGAAAGGUGAAAAGAACCCCGGAAGGGGAGUGAAAUAGUCCCUGAAACCGUGUGCUUACAAACUGUGGGAGGGCAAUUCUUCGGGAUGCCUGACCGCGUGCCUUUUGUUUAAUGAGCCAGCGAGUUGUCCUCUGUGGCGAUAGGUUAAGAACCUCAGGUUCGAAGCCGUAGCGAAAGCAAGUCUGAAAUGGGCGUCGAGUCGCAGGGGGCAGACCCGAAACUUGUGUGAUCUAUCCAUGGCCAGGCUGAAGCCUACGUAACAGUAGGUGGAGGGCCGAACCAAUGUGGGUUGAAAACCGCUUGGAUGAGCUGUGGAUAGGGGUGAAAGGCCAAUCAAACCAAGAUAUAGCUGGUUCUCCCCGAAAUCGUUUUAGGACGAGCCUUGAGUAAAUGAGUUAUGACGGUAGAGCACUAUUUGGACUAGGGGCCCCACCAGGUUACCGAACCCAGAUAAACUCCGAAUGCCAUAACUUGUAUCUCGGGAGUGAGACGGUGGGGGAUAAGCUCCAUCGUCAAAAGGGUAACAGCCCAGACCGCCGGCUAAGGCCCCAAAGUGUAUUCUCAGUGGUAAAGGUUGUUGCGGUGGCUAGACAGCCAGGAGGUUGGCUUAGAAGCAGCCAUUCCUUUAAAGAGUGCGUAAUAGCUCACUGGUCAAUCAUCGCAGCGCCGAUAAUUCAACGGGGCUCAAGGAUACCGCCGAAGCCGCGGACUUCAGAGCAAUCUGGAGUGGUAGGGGAGCGUUCCGUCCGGGUAGAAGCACGACCGACAAGGACGUGUGGACUGGCCGGAAGAGCCGAUGCUGGCAUGAGUAACGAGAAAGCAGGUGAAAGUCCUGCUCGCCGUAAACCUAAGGUUUCCGGGGCAAGGGUCAUCCUCCUCGGGUCAGCCGGUCCCUAAGGCGAGGCCGAAAGGCGUAGUCGAUGGGAAAAAGGUUAAUAUUCCUUUGCCACCGUAUGGCGUUAAGCCAAGGGGGGACGGGGAAGGAUAAGCUGAGACUCCGAUGGUUGUGAGUACCGAAGCUGGUAGGCGGGCGUCCAGGCAAAUCCGGACGCCAUUAACGCUGAGAAGCGACAGGGUGUGGAACCUCCGGGCGAAGCACUUCAGCUGAUUCCAUGCCUCCAAGAAAAGCCUCGUGGUUUGUCAUAAGGUGACCGUACCGUAAACCGACACAGGUAGGUGAGGAGAGUAUCCUCAGGCGCUCGAGUGAUAACUCGUUAAGGAACUCGGCAAAAUAGCCCCGUAACUUCGGAAGAAGGGGCGCUUUCCGGUGUGAAGUGUAUACACGUGGAGCACCGGAGAGCCGCAGUGAAAGGUCCCAGGCGACUGUUUAGCAAAAACACAGGACUCUGCAAACUCGCAAGAGGAAGUAUAGGGUCUGACGCCUGCCCGGUGCUGGAAGGUUAAGAGGAGGGGUUAGUCUUCGGGCGAAGCUCUGAAUCGAAGCCCCAGUAAACGGCGGCCGUAACUAUAACGGUCCUAAGGUAGCGAAAUUCCUUGUCGGGUAAGUUCCGACCUGCACGAAUGGCGUAACGAUCUGGGCGCUGUCUCAACGAGUAGCUCGGCGAAAUUGAGUUGGCGGUGAAAACGCCGCCUACCCGCGACUAGACGGAAAGACCCCGUGCACCUUUACUACAUCCUGUCAUUGGGUUUUGGUGGUACUUGUGUAGGAUAGGUGGGAGGCUGCGAACCCGGAUCGCCAGAUUCGGGGGAGCCAACCUUGAAAUACCACCCUGGUAGCAUUGGAACUCUAACCCUGAUCCGUUAUCCGGAUCGGAGACAGUGUCAGGUGGGUAGUUUGACUGGGGCGGUCGCCUCCUAAAAAGUAACGGAGGCGCGCAAAGGUUCCCUCAGCGCGGUUGGUAAUCGCGCGUCGAGUGCAAAGGCACAAGGGAGCUUGACUGCGAGACCCACAAGUCGAGCAGGUGCGAAAGCAGGUCUUAGUGAUCCGGCGGCUCUGUAUGGAAUGGCCGUCGCUCAACGGAUAAAAGGUACCCCGGGGAUAACAGGCUGAUCUUCCCCAAGCGCCCACAGCGACGGGAAGGUUUGGCACCUCGAUGUCGGCCCAUCGCAUCCUGGGGCUGUAGGCGGUCCCAAGGGUUUGGCUGUUCGCCAAUUAAAGCGGUACGCGAGCUGGGUUCAGAACGUCGUGAGACAGUUCGGUCCCUAUCUGUCGUGGGCGUAGGAGAAUUGAGAGGAUCUGUUCCUAGUACGAGAGGACCGGAACGGAGCGACCAAUGGUGUACCUGUUGUCCUGCCAUGGGCAUCGCAGGGUAGCCAAGUCGCGAAGGGAUAACCGCUGAAAGCAUCUAAGUGGGAAACCCACCUCAAGAUGAGUUCUCCCCUCUAAGGAGAUAAGUCCCCUUGAAGAUGACAAGGUUGAUAGGCCGGAUGUGGAAGCACGGUGACGUGUGGAGCUAACCGGUACUAAUCGGACGAAGACUUGAUACA
rnacentral:rRNA from 1 species